UACGGGGGGAGCAAGCGUUGUUCGGAUUUACUGGGCGUAAAGGGCGCGUAGGCGGCCUGUGCAAGUCAGUUGUGAAAUCUCCGGGCUUAACUCGGAACGGUCAACUGAUACUGCUCGGCUAGAGUGCGGAAGGGGCAACUGGAAUUCUCGGUGUAGCGGUGAAAUGCGUAGAUAUCGAGAGGAACACCUGCGGCGAAGGCGGGUUGCUGGGCUGACACUGACGCUGAACUGCGAAAGCUAGGGGAGCGAACGGG
rnacentral:rRNA from 1 species